AUUGAACGCUGGCGGAAUGCUUUACACAUGCAAGUCGGGCGGCAGCGCGGGGGCAACCCUGGCGGCGAGCGGCGAACGGGUGAGUAACACAUCGGAACGUACCCUGUCGUGGGGGAUAACGAAUCGAAAGAUUCGCUAAUACCGCAUACGACCUGAGGGUGAAAGCGGGGGAUCGCAAGACCUCGCGCGAGAGGAGCGGCCGAUGGCGGAUUAGCUAGUUGGUGGGGUAAAGGCCCACCAAGGCGACGAUCCGUAGCGGGUCUGAGAGGACGGCCGCCACACUGGGACUGAGACACGGCCCAGACUCCUACGGGAGGCAGCAGUGGGGAAUCUUGGACAAUGGGGGCAACCCUGAUCCAGCCAUUCCGCGUGAGUGAAGAAGGCCUCGGUUGUAAGUACUUCGUCG
rnacentral:rRNA from 1 species